GCUCAAGAUGAAACAUCAGCAGGUCAUGUUAGACCUGCAGAAGUUUGAGAAUGAGAGUUUGGAGGCCUCACAGAAGCUCAGUGAGCUGACCAAAGAGAAAGUCUUCCUUUGUGAUCUGCAGAGCCGGCUCCUGAUGGAGCAGAGUCAGCUCAAAAAGAAAUUGGAUAUGCUGAGGCAACAGAAGGAGAACCUACUGGAGGAUUGAGUCAUGCUGAAGCACCACUUGGGUGACUUGCAAGUGCUCAGUAAGGAUCAAGAAGAGAUCAGUGACCUCCAGAACCAGCAACAGCAGGAGCAGCAAAGAAUGGAAGAGAGACUCCAGAGCUUGCUGAAGCAAAGGGAGCUGGUCACACAGCAAAAACACUUGGCAAUAAAGCUGCAGCAUCAUUUGACUGUCUCCCAGAUGAGCACCCUCUAUGAGAACUGAGGAGGCCGAAGGAAUCCAUAGUCAACUAGAAACCAUGACAUUCUCCACUCUAUGAUCAAGGCCUCCUCAGAACAAGACAUGUACUACUAGUUGUGAAAUCACCAGUGAGGCAAAUAUCAUCUGCCCUGUGUCUGAUCCAUGUCUGUUGA